rnacentral:rRNA from 1 species
UACGUAGGGUGCAAGCGUUAAUCGGAAUUACUGGGCGUAAAGCGUGCGCAGGCGGUUUUGUAAGUCUGAUGUGAAAUCCCCGGGCUCAACCUGGGAAUUGCAUUGGAGACUGCAAGGCUAGAAUCUGGCAGAGGGGGGUAGAAUUCCACGUGUAGCAGUGAAAUGCGUAGAGAUGUGGAGGAACACCAAUGGCGAAGGCAGCCCCCUGGGUCAAGAUUGACGCUCAUGCACGAAAGCGUGGGGAGCAAACAGG